GAUUACAAGCGAAAGCAUAAAAUUCAAAGGACUUGACGGUAUUUCACAUCAACCUAGAGGAGCCUGUCCUGUAAUCGAUAAUCCACGUUUUACCUCACCCAUUCUUGCCACGCCAGCCUGUAUACCGCCGUCGCCAGCCCAUCUAAUGAUAGAAUAAAAAUGGACAAAAUUGUACAACCACAAAAACGUCAGGUCAAGGUGCAGCUAAUGAGUGGGCUGAGAUGGGCUACAUUUUUUAAAUUAAAAAAUUACUACAAGCAACAUGAAAUAUUGCGCCUCCAAGGUGGAUUUAGCAGUAAAUUUGUGCAAGAUGUGCCACAUUGAAACCUGUUCUGAAAUGCGUACACACCGCC
rnacentral:rRNA from 2 species